GACGAGGGAUCCAAGCGUUGUUCGGAAUUAUUGGGCGUAAAGCGGAUGCAUGUGGCUCUUUAGUCAGGUGUGAAAUCCCAGGGCUCAACCCUGGAAGUGCAUUUGAAACUGGAGAGCUUGAGUGCUGGAGAGGUAAGUAGAAUACCUGGUGUAGUGGUGAAAUACGUAGAUAUCAGGUGGAAUACCGGAGGCGAAGGCGGCUUACUGGCCAGACACUGACACUCAGAAUCCGAAAGCGUGGGGAUCAAACAGG
rnacentral:rRNA from 1 species